rnacentral:rRNA from 1 species
AACGGGGGGGGCUAGCGUUAUUCGUCGUUAUUGGGCGUAAAGGGUAUGUAGGUGAUUGUAUAUUUUUUAGAAAUAAAGAACAAAGAUACUUUGUUAUUCUCUAAAGAAUGUUAGUUGAGAUGGAAGAGAUCAGUGGAAUUACUAAUGUAAGGGUAAAAUUUGUCGAUAUCCGCAGGAAUACCAGUGGCGAAGGCGGCACUCUGGGUUGUACCUGACGCUGAGGCGCGAAGGCUAGGGGAGCGAACAGG